rnacentral:tRNA from 2 species
UUAAUAGAAGCCAAAAUAGAGGCCAUUCACUGUUAAUGAAUGAAUUGACUUUUUCCUAUUAAG